rnacentral:lncRNA from 1 species
UGCUAUUGAAACUAUAGAGAAGAAGAUCUUAUUCUGCAAUGUAGACAAUGUGAUAGAUGGAUGCAUGCAGUUCGUCAGAACUUAAAUACUGAGGAAGAAGUGGAAAAUGUAGCAGACAUUGGUUUUGAUUGUAACAUGUGCAGACCCUAUAUGCCUGCGUCUAAUGUGCCUUCCUCAGACUGCUGUGGAUCUUCACUUGUAGCACAAAUUGUCACAAAAGUAAAAGAGCUAGACCCACCCAAGACUUAUACCCAGGAUGGUGUGUGUUUGACUGAAUCAGGGAUGACUCAGUUACAGAGCCUCACAGUUGCAGUUCCAAGAAGAAAACUGUCAAAACCAAAACUGAAAUUGAAGAUUAUAAAUCAGAAUAGCGUGGCCAUCCUUCAGACCCCUCCAGACAUCCAAUCAGAACAUUCAAGGGAUGGUGAUAUGGAUGAUAGUCGAGGUAAUACUAAUUUAUUU